UCUCUCUCUCUCUCUCUCUCUCUCUCACAGUAUCUCUCCCUCUUUCUCCACCAUAGCUUUAGCUCUCUACUGCGCCGACAUCUCUGAUUUUCCAAGGCUUAACUCAGAACAGUAAGAAUCAUCUCAAUUUCGAAGGAGCUAAAGCCAAGGCUAUAGAUGCACGAGGGACAUGAAAAAUGCCGGCUUUUUUACAUUUUCUAAGUCUUUAAAUUUUGGCGCUUUAGCUGCAAGAUCACUGAAUUCCUACUUGAGUUUGAGUUUCCCCUUGAGGUGUUCUAUUAGGACUGUUAGAAUGGAAAAUAAUAAUAAUGGCAACCUAAAGGUUGGCGAUGAUGGUUCCAGAGGCGCCUUCAUAGUUCUAGAAGGUUUGGAUCGCAGUGGAAAGACUUCACAAUGUAGCAAGUUACUACCUUACUUGGAGGGACUGGGGCAUCCGACUGAAUUAUGGCGUUUUCCUGAUAGGUC
rnacentral:misc_RNA from 1 species